rnacentral:lncRNA from 1 species
UUGGGGUUGCUAUAGAUUUUUGAGAAGGAUCACCAGCUCCACAAGAAGAUGGUGAAUGUAGUGGGAGAAUCUUCUUCGGAUAGUCGUCAUCCCUUUAAGAAAGGAAAGAAAAAGAAGAAUAAGAAGGUGCAAAGUGCUGGGAGUCAGACCCAAAAGUCCAAGUUCAAGGCCGACUAAAGUCGGACAGAGUGCUUCUAUUGCAGG